UGAGGAAUAUUGGUCAAUGGGCGCAAGCCUGAACCAGCCAAGUAGCGUGCAGGAAGACGGCCCUAUGGGUUGUAAACUGCUUUUAUACGAGAAUAAUUUGAUGCACGUGUGCGUUAUUGCAUGUAUCGUAUGAAUAAGGACCGGCUAAUUCCGUGCCAGCAGCCGCGGUAAUACGGAAGGUCCAGGCGUUAUCCGGAUUUAUUGGGUUUAAAGGGAGUGUAGGCGGUUUGUUAAGCGUGUUGUGAAAUUUAGAUGCUCAACAUUUAACUUGCAGCGCGAACUGGCGAACUUGAGUGCACACAACGUAUGCGGAAUUCAUGGUGUAGCGGUGAAAUGCUUAGAUAUCAUGAAGAACUCCGAUUGCGGAGGCAGCAUACGGGAGUGUAACUGACGCUUAAGCUCGAAGGUGCGGGUAUCGAACAGGAUUAGAUACCCUGGUAGUCCGCACAGUAAACGAUGGAUGCCCGCUGUUAGCGCCUGGCGUUAGCGGCUAAGCGAAAGCAUUAAGCAUCCCACCUGGGGAGUACGCCGGCAACGGUG
rnacentral:rRNA from 1 species